rnacentral:rRNA from 1 species
UACGGAGGGUGCGAGCGUUAAUCGGAAUUACUGGGCGUAAAGCGCGCGUAGGUGGUUGCGUAAGUCGAUUGUGAAAUCCCCGGGCUUAACCUGGGAAUUGCAGUCGAUACUGUGCAGCUAGAGUGUGGUAGAGGAAAGCGGAAUUCCGGGUGUAGCGGUGAAAUGCGUAGAUAUCCGGAGGAACACCAGUGGCGAAGGCGGCUUUCUGGACCAACACUGACGCUAAGGCGCGAAAGCGUGGGGAGCAAACAGG